UACGAAGGGGGCUAGCGUUGCUCGGAAUUACUGGGCGUAAAGGGCGCGUAGGCGGUCCUGUAAGUCAGGCGUGAAAUUCCUGGGCUUAACCUGGGGGCUGCGCUUGAGACUGUGGGACUUGAGGAUGGAAGAGGCUCGUGGAAUUCCCAGUGUAGAGGUGAAAUUCGUAGAUAUUGGGAAGAACACCGGUGGCGAAGGCGGCGAGCUGGUCCAUUACUGACGCUGAGGCGCGACAGCGUGGGGAG
rnacentral:rRNA from 1 species